ensembl:lncRNA
UUUAAUAUAAGGUUUUAUCUAAUAAUUGAGUAGAAGAGUUAAGGUACUUCAGGAUCCUAAAUCACCAAAACCUCAUAGUAGUCUCUAAGUCAUUUUUGACAAUGGCACUUUGAACUCACAUGAGGUGCAGCACUUUUUUUUUGGUUAGUUGGUUUUGUCUAUUUUAUGUAUCUCCCCCUUCCAACCCCCCUCCUUGAUUUAUCUACUUUUUAAUUUGACUUCUACACGAACUAGGUAGCUUUUUACACUGUAAUUGUUUGAGGAACACUAUAGCUCUUCAGUUUGACACUGAUCUUUCCACAGUUCUGAAUGAACUCUGCUUUGGCUUAAGGAAAUAUCUGUACUUAACGCUGCAUGAACUUCUAGCACAUUUUGAGAUAAAUCAGUGUUUUCCUGUCAAAUCACACCAUGGAGAGACUGCUAAAUCCGAACAUACACAGAAUAAGUCCAUAACAAUUCCUCAACUCAGUGCAUAAUUGGAGAAUAAACUGUGAAGUAGUUCUGGAAAUGAGCGACAUUCCACUGCCUGAAGAGCUUUAACAUUCAGGUGGAACCUACCCAUGGUAAUCAGUGGUUGCAAGAUUCUCACUCCUUGCACAUUUGCGGUGUAUACUCCAGAGAUUGCAACCCAGUGGCAGCUUAAAACAGAACUUGAGUAUUAAUCAUCAGCAAUCAUAAGCUCUGGUUGUCUCCAUCCCCUUCUCCAUUGACUUCCUUCUGCCAGACAGAUAAUUGCCUCUCAGUGGAAGUCUUCCAACAGUGUCCUGGUUAGAAAAUGGAUUGUCAGGUUGUAGGAUUUAUGAGCUCAACAUCCAGAGCUAUAUAUAUCCACCAUCCUGUAUUGCAUCAUGGUGCCCUCUCAUUAAGUACACGGAAAGUACUUGUAGUUUUUGUAAACCAGCAACUCUUGCCAAUUUUUCUCCUGAUUAGUAUAAUCCUUUUCUCAUAAUCUCUAAUAAUAAUGUUUUAUACUUCAUUUGUCUUACAUAAUUAGCUCUUGGACACUCUCACAGACUUGUUAUUUUGUUUUGUAAAGCUCUUUCUUCCUUGUAGAUAUAAACAAACACUAAACUUAGAAAACUGUAUUAGAAUGUUUUCAAAAUCAUGUAUAUAUAAAGUGUAUGUGUGGGUAUUCAGUGAGAAAGAAAUCCAGGCCUCCGAGGCCCUCACUCUCAUUGGUGCUAUCACUAUCCAUGCCGUAGUCCUAACGUUUUGGUCUCCAAUCACAUUCUAGGACGAAGUUACUUUCUUUCUACUUCACUACUGACUUUUCCCACUUUAAACAUUGAACAACAGCAACAAAAAAAGUGUCAAUAUUUCUGUCUAAACUGUUUUAGGCUUUUUCCAGGAGACUGUUAGAACAGCUGAGAGACUGCCAAGAGACUUGCUAAAAAGUGGGAAUUAGAUCCCAGGAAAACAUGAGAAACCUGUAGCAGUGUGUGAGCAGUGAUUCUUUCACUGUUAACCAGAAACUCCUUCUAUUAAUAACAAAUUUUACAGUGGUGCGGUAAGGUCCCUGAUAAGCAACAUUGUGUUUCAGUGGAUACAUGCAAAUGACUGCUGAAAGGUACUGUUGAACAUUGCCAAGUCUAUGUCAUUGUAACACUUCUUGUUGAAGACAGCAUUCCUUGGAAGAGUCGCUGUUUGUUUCACAUUUUUGCAGCUGUUUCUGCAGGUUUCUCAGACGCUGUCUAUUAAACCAAGGAUUUAUAACUGUUUUAUCUUCUCAGUAUGUUCCCAGCAGCGCUUAUGAUCCAGGAAGUAUGAAACCAGUAGCUUAAUGGAAAUUCUCAGCAUUUUCCAGUGCUAAAUUUGAUAGGCUAUGGCCAUGCAAUCAUGGAGCGUGCUCAGUUGUCUCAGUCACGAGCUGAGUUUCCUUUGCUGUCAUUUCCUUCUGGCUCUCUAACCUCCUGCAUGCUGCCUUUCUGUUCCAGAAGUGAAACAGUGGGGUUAAGUUAAAGUAUUACAGUAUGUCAGGUGUGCUUGUCUCCUGCUUUCAGAGACAGCCCUAUUUUUCAUGCAGCUUUCAGAUCCUCACCCAAGUUACUUGUUCAGGUAAGGCAUGCAUAUAAUGGGAAUGACACUGACAUCUAAGCAGAGCAGAAUUAUCUGUAGACCAAUGGGUGAGAUAUCUCAUUGUUGCAUGUCCAGAAGUUUUCCAGAACCACUGUUAGUGGAGACAAUGCUAUGGAUUUCAGUGAAAUUGAACUGGAUAUUUGGAGGAUGAAACUUCUAUAAAUGGACCUUUUCUUUGCUUUAAACUGCUAAUUAGAAUGCAAAGGGCUAAGGAUGCCAUUCUCAUGCUUCUGCUAUCUUAAUUGGGAAAUAAUUUUACCAAGUUUUAGGAGUAUCAUUAUUUCUGCCCUUUAGCUGGGUGCCCAUUAAACUGCACAUAGGUUUUUCUAUUUGGAUCCUGUUUGAAGACCCUGAAGUUACCAAAACCACUGCCUAUGAGUGCAGGAGUGGACAGCCAGCUGCUGAGGCUGCUGCUGGGUAGGAAGCAGUGGAGAACAUGGCUGAAGUAGCAGCAGGACUCUUGUGUUAUGUGCUGUGAAGCUUACACACACUUCACUUCAGGUCUGUGGGACCAUGAAAUGGGGGGGGCUGGGGGGGAGGGGAAGCAUUUUCUCUGCCAUCAUGUCCUCCAACCUCUACCUUUGUUCUGCAGUUAAUUUGAAUUUCACCAUUUAUAACCCAAAGAAACAUUCUGUCGGGCCACACUGAGAGCUCAGUGAACUGUGCAGCUCCACAGUCUUUGGUAAAAUCCAUGGAAAAAUGUGAGUGAUAUCUGCAAAACCUUUUGACAUCUGAUGGCUCUGGGGAGUAAACUGCUCAGCGAUUUCAUUGAUGCUCAUGUACUGAUCAUAGAAUUGUUUGAGUUGGAAGGGACCCUUAAAGGCCAUCUGGUCCAACCCCCUGCAAUGAACAGGGACACCUACAGCCCCAUCAGGUGCUCAGAGCCCCAUCCAGCCUGACCUUGAGCAUCCCUAGGGAUGGGGCAUCCACCACCACCAAUCUGGGCAACCUGUGCCAGUGCCUCACCACCUUUACUGUAAAAAAAACC